AUUGAACGCUGGCGGCAGGCUUAACACAUGCAAGUCGAGCGGGGUGAUGGUGCUUGCACUAUCACUUAGCGGCGGACGGGUGAGGAAUGCUUAGGAAUCUGCCUAUUAGUGGGGGACAACAUCUCGAAAGGGAUGCUAAUACCGCAUACGUCCUACGGGAGAAAGCAGGGGAUCACUUGUGACCUUGCGCUAAUAGAUGAGCCUAAGUCGGAUUAGCUAGUUGGUGGGGUAAAGGCCUACCAAGGCGACGAGCUGUAGCGGGUCUGAGAGGAUGAUCCGCCACACUGGGACUGAGACACGGCCCAGACUCCUACGGGAGGCAGCAGUGGGGAAUAUUGGACAAUGGGGGGAACCCUGAUCCAGCCAUGCCGCGUAUGUGAAGAAGGCCUUAUGGUUGUAAAGCACUUUAAGCGAGGAGGAGGCUCUUUUGGUUAAUACCCAAGAUGAGUGGACGUUACUCGCAGAAUAAGCACCGGCUAACUCUGUGCCAGCAGCCGCGGUAA
rnacentral:rRNA from 1 species